GUUUCCACAUAUGUUGAUGAAGAAGCACUGUGGCCAUCCAAAACUGAGUGCUGAUUACUAACCCGCUGUGGCCGGGCAUGUUUGGAUGUGACAAAGUGUAAAGCUGAUUUUUGGAGAAGAGGAACAACGCAGCAGAAGGCCGGAGAAACACGUAACAGAGGGAGUUCCUGAAGACGAACAGAAGAGAGGAAGACUGUAUGUAAAAAGCCACGGGGGAGUGGAGAGAGGCAGACUGAAGGAAAGGGAGAAGCACUGGAGAUAUUCAGAGGAGUGAAUGAUAGAGAGUCACAUAAAGGAGAGAGGAGACAGAAGAAAAACGUGGCCAAGCAUGAGAGAGGAGGAGCAGUCUAAUGAUGACCACCCUGAGGGAGGGGUGGUUUCCAGCGAGGAGAACACGGGACGACCACCUUCUAACGCCUGUCCCGUCGUUGUAGCAACGCCGCGGGUCACCGGGCAUAAACGGCAGACGUGCUCGCAUACGGAGGAUCAGGUUACCGUGGUUACCCCAACCACAUCAGCAGACGAUGGCAAGGUCAAGUCAGGGGAUGGCAUCCAGAUCUACACCCCGACUGGACCCAAAAGACUCAAGAAGAGUCCCCAACAUCGGCCAGCUUCCUCGAGCCCAUCCCUUUCUCCUGUCCCCGGUCCCAGUCCUGGAGGCCUCUCAGCCCUGGAGGACCCGCACGGCCAGCGGGUGAUCGCCAACAUCCGGGAGCGCCAAAGGACACAAUCUCUGAACGAAGCCUUCGCCUCAUUGCGUAAGAUAAUCCCAACGCUCCCCUCUGACAAACUGAGCAAGAUCCAGACCCUUAAACUGGCGUCGCGCUACAUUGACUUUCUGUACCAGGUUCUGCAGAGCGAUGACAUAGACACUAAGCUGGCUGGAUGUAAUUACCUGGCCCACGAGAGACUGAGCUACGCCUUCUCUGUCUGGAGGAUGGAGGGGGCCUGGUCGACCAUGUCUGCUGGACACUAGCCCCACCUGACCGCAAGGUUUGUGUUUUGCCUGUCGCCGUAAAACGUAUGAUCAAUUCCUCAUGACAGGGAAAUAUUCUUACUUGAGUCAGAGGCCUGAGAGAUGAACUGUGUCUGCUCACCAGUGGACUCGCACUAUUUAACGCCUCAACUUAGAUCAUCUGUUUCCCUCAGUGAUGAUGGAAAGACUGCGAGGAGAAGGCUUUAUAUGAGCAUUUGAACAGAGCUGAAUUUAAAUCCAAAUGUGAUUCUCUUGCUUUGCUUGCCAAAAGCAGCUAUAACUGCUCAUGAGUGGCAACGGUAGUGAAAGGUAUCACAGCGGGGACAUUGUGCUCAGCGUAAGAUUCCUAGACGUUUUGCACACUGUCUAUAUUGAUCACGAUGGAGGACAGGACAGGUGGGACAAAAACAGACCGACAUCAUUCAGUUUUCAUUUAUUCAUCAACCUGAAGGUGAGGGAUGCCCCGUCCUAAAUGUUGCCCCCAUGUGACAGCAUGGUUCAUUCUGCUGGAGCCCUCUGACCCAUCGGCUUUCUCUGGUUUGAUCCUCAUCAUCACCCUUGAUUUUAUCACCGUAACUGCCAUCAGUACCAUCAUCAUCAUCAUUAAUAUUGUCAUUAUACAUACUUUAAGCCACAUUUGAACUUCAUUUCAUAUUUUGAUUUAACUUUAUUUCUAGAGAAUGCAGAUGAGGGAUAAGAUGAAAGUCAGAGCUGGAAAGACAAAAAUGGAUGUUUCAAGAGAGAUCGGCCCUUUGACUUUUCCGUACCCUUUCAGUUCCUACUUUUUCCAAGACUCUGACAUAUUAUGAAUCCCUGACCACCUCUGAACCCAAGCAAUGGUGGAAAAAGUAGCCGUGGGCAGCCGUCGUCCUGACUUAAGUUUCUCCUCUUUAUACCCAAACCAAGCCCCUUUGUUUCUUCGAGUGCCAAAAAAACUCUCCUCUUGAAAUUCUUUCCUCUCAUUCUGGCUGAAAUUUGCUUGCGUUGCACGAAACCGUGAUGCAGCUACAGCGAACUGACGAGGAGGCGUAAUGAAAACAAACGGUCUCUAAAAGCCAUGAAUCAUGUGUGUCACCAUCAAAGGGGAGGCUGAUGUGGCUCCCUGCUGGGCUCCCAUAAACCACUGGAAGUGAUGGAGGAGCUGCUGAAUAAAGUGACUGUGAUCUUCCUUGUACAUCUCUGCUCCAUGCUACCAUUUCUGCGAUUCUAUUCACGUGGACUUUGAUGCAAACGGAACUCUUUAGGUACCUCACUUUUGGAGAAAAGGACUAUUUAAGAUUAUUAAAAGGCAUCUUUAUCAGGAUACAGACACGGGGAUAUGGGGAAAGAAGACUUUCCUCUGAACCAACUAAACCAACAGAGCUGUCAUUUAUCAAGAAGAAACUGACAAUACAGGUCGGGCUGGAUCAGUACUUGUGUUCAGUUUUUGUGUUUCAUACAAUUUUUCCUGCAGUUAAAGCGAGACUUCAAACCGGGACAGUGAUUAUUGUGUUUGUCUGCUUUCCACCAGUUUACUGACAGAGUGAGGCUCUGGUUUUUUGUAGGACCAUUUACUUGAAGUAUAUGUGGUGCUUUAUAAAAAUGACUAACACAGCAUGUUUUGUGAUAUAAACAACAACAACAAGCAGAAAAUAAUGAUGCAGAGUUGGAUGUAGUGAUACAUGUAGCACAUGUAUCAUUAUUUGUCUGAAA